rnacentral:lncRNA from 1 species
CAGCUACUUGGGAGGCUGAGGCGGGAGAAUCACUUGAACCCAGGAGGCUGAGGUUGUAGUGAGCCGAGACUGUGCCACUGCACUCCAGCCUGGGCGACAGAGCGAGACUCCAUCUCAAAAAAAAAAAAAAAAAAAAAAAAGAAUUAUGCUCAAUCUACUCUGCCUGUGCUGUAUAAAUGGAACAACAAAGCCUGGAUGACAGCACAUUUGUUUAUAGCAUGGUUUACUGAAUUCUAAGCCCACUAUUUAGACCUAGUGCACAGAAAAAAGAUUCCCUUCAAAAUAUUACUGCUCAAUGACAAUGUACCUAGUCAACCAAUGGCUCUGAUGGAGAUGUACAAAGAAGGAGGUUAAUGUUGUUUUAAUGUCUGCUAAUAUAACAUCCAUUCUGCAGCCCAUAGAUCAAGGAGUAAUUUUGACUUUUAAGUCAUAUUAUUGAAUAAAUACAUUUCCUAAGGCUAUAGCUGCCAUAGAUAAUGAUUCCACUGAUGGAUCUUGGCAAAGUAACUUUCGUUUGCACUGCAAAACCAAAAGUUUUCUGUGACUUGUUUUAUUGUGAUAUUCACUUUAUUGUGGUGGUCUGGAACUGAACGUGCAGUAUUUCUGAACUGUGACUAUAUCUGAAUAGCUAAUGAGUUCAUGAAAAGAUCUUUAUCAUUAGUUGGCCCCGCACGGUGGCUCACGCCUGUAAUCCCAGGCCUCUGGGAGGCUGAGGCAGGCAGAUCAAUUGAGGUGGGGUGUUCAAGACCAGCCUGCCCAACAAGGUGAAACCUCUCUACCAAAAAAUACAAAUAUCAGCCGGAUGUGGCUGCAUGUACCUGUAGUCCCAGCUAAACUACUCGGGAGGCUGAGGUGGGAGGAUCACUUGAACCUGGGAAGCGGAGACUGCAGUGAGCCGAGAUUAUACCACUGCCCUCUAGCCCGGGCAAAAGGGUGAGGCAGUUGAGACCCUUUCUUAAAAAAAAAAAAAAAAAAAAAAGUCUUUUAUCUUAGCCGUUAAGGAAAUACAAAUUAAAGCCACAAUGAGAAAACACUUUACACCUGUAAGAAUGCUAAAGUAGAAAAUAUUGACAAUAUUAAGUGCUAGUGAAAACAUUUCUGCAAUUUCUCUCUCUUUCCCCUCCCCUCCCCUCCUCUUUCUUUCUCUCUUUCUCUCUUUUGUUCUUUCUUUCUCAAUAGGGCUGUUGCGCAGGCUGGAGUGCAGUGUGGCACAAUCAGCUCACUGCAGCCUUGAACUCCCAGGCUCAAGUGAUUCUCUUGCCUCUGCCUCCUGAAUAGCUAGGACUAUAGGCCUGCGCUACCAUGCCUAGCUAAUUUUUUUUUUUUUUUUUUUUUUGGGUAGAGAUGGGGUCAUGUUGUGUUGCCCAGGCUUGGCAAUUUCUUAUAAAGUUAAACAUAUAUCUACCCUAUAAUUCAGAAAUUCCACUCCUAGGUAUCCAGCUAGGAGAAAUGUAAACACAUGUCCCAAAACAAAGCAUAUUUGCAAAAAUGUUUAUAGCAACUUUAUCCAUAAUAGCCCCAAACUAGAAACAACCCAAAUGCCCAUUAACAGUUGAAUGCACAAACUGUAGUAUUUCUAUAUAAUACAGUAUUACUUAGCAAUAAAGAGGAAGGAACUACUUGUACAUAAAACAGUUUCUGUGUAUCUCAAGGAUGUUGUGAUGAGCAAAAAGAAGUAAGACCCAAAGAAGGACAUGCAAUUUGAUUUCAUUAGUAUGCAAUUCAAGAAAAGGCAGAACUAAUCUAUAUGGACAGAGAGCAGAGCAGUGGUACCUAAGGCAAGGCUCGGAGAGAAGAGAGCUGGUUGCAAACGGGCACAGUAGGCGGAGAUACGUGAUGGAAAACUGCUGUAUUUUGACUGUGGUGUUGGUUUCAUGGAUAUACAUGUUUGUCAAAACUCACCAAGCUGUACACUUAAGCAUAUUCUAUGGUUUGUAAAAUAGACCUCAAUAAAGUUGAUUUUUGUUUUCAAGGUAGAGUCUCGCUCUGUCACCCAGGCUGGAGUGCAGUGGCGCAAUCACAGCUCACUUCAGUCUUGACCUCCCAGUCUCAAGCAAUCCUCACACAUCAGCCUCCCGCGUAGCUGGGACUACAAGCACAUACCACCAUGCCCCGCUAAUUCUUUUCUUUGUUUUUAGGGAUGGGAUCGCACUUUGUUGCCCAGGCUGGUAUGUUGAUUUUAUUAUAUUUACUUAUUUUUUUGAGACAGAAUCUCACUCUGUG